ACGAACGCUGGCGGCGUGCUUAACACAUGCAAGUCGAACGGUGAAGCGCCUUCCUUUUUGGUGGGUGUGGAUGAGUGGCGAACGGGUGAGUAACACGUGAGUAACCUGCCCCCUUCUUCUGGAUAACCGCAUGAAAGUGUGGCUAAUACGGGAUAUUCUGGGUCUGUCGCAUGAUGGGUCUGGGAAAGAUAUUGUUUCGGUGGGGGAUGGGCUCGCGGCCUAUCAGCUUGUUGGUGGGGUGAUGGCCUACCAAGGCGGUGACGGGUAGCCGGCCUGAGAGGGUGGACGGUCACACUGGGACUGAGACACGGCCCAGACUCCUACGGGAGGCAGCAGUAGGGAAUAUUGCACAAUGGGCGCAAGCCUGAUGCAGCGACGCCGCGGGAGGGAUGGAGGCCUUCGGGUUGUGAACCUCUUUCGCCAGUGAAGCAGGCCUGCCUCGUUUGUGGGUGGGUUGACGGUAGCUGGAUAAGAAGCGCCGGCUAACUACGUG
rnacentral:rRNA from 1 species